rnacentral:rRNA from 1 species
GACGAACGCUGGCGGCGUGCUUAACACAUGCAAGUCGAACGGAAAGGCCCUGCUUUUGUGGGGUGCUCGAGUGGCGAACGGGUGAGUAACACGUGAGUAACCUGCCCUUGACUUUGGGAUAACUUCAGGAAACUGGGGCUACUACCGGAUAGGAGCUCCUGCUGCAUGGUGGGGGUUGGAAAGUUUCGGCGGUUGGGGAUGGACUCGCGGCUUAUCAGCUUGUUGGUGGGGUAGUGGCUUACCAAGGCUUUGACGGGUAGCCGGCCUGAGAGGGUGACCGGCCACAUUAGGACUGAGAGACGGCCCAGACUCCUACGGGAGGCAGCAGUGGGGAAUAUUGCACAAUGGGCGGAAGCCUGAUGCAGCAACGCCGCGUGCGGGAUGACGGCCUUCGGGUUGUAAACCGCUUUCGCCUGUGACGAAGCGUGAGUGACGGUAAUGGGUAAAGAAGCACCGGCUAACUACGUG